UACGUAGGUGACCAGCGUUGUCCGGAAUUAUUGGGCGUAAAGAGCUCGUAGGCGGCUCGUUGCGUCGGCUGUGAAAACCCGCAGCUCAACUGUGGGCUUGCAGCUGAUACGGGCGGGCUGGAGUUCGGUAGGGGAGACUGGAAUUCCUGGUGUAGCGGUGAAAUGCGCAGAUAUCAGGAGGAACACCGGUGGCGAAGGCGGGUCUCUGGGCCGAUACUGACGCUGAGGAGCGAAAGCGUGGGGAGCGAACAGG
rnacentral:rRNA from 1 species